GGCGCACGGCUGGCACUCAACACUGACUUUGGAACUGAAAGUGCCCGAACGCAGGUACUUUUCUCCAGGAUGGCACUGUUCUCUGACGACGUUCUGAGAACAAAUCUGAUCGGAGAAAAACGGUGGCCUGUUGUUUCACCGCUGGAUCAUUUUCCACCUCGCUUUGGCUUCUGAUCUGCUUUUGAGCGGAGGCACAGAGCAAGCGCGUGCUGGGAAUUAAUCAGGAAAGAGCCAUUCGAGGAGGACAGCACGGGCAGCUCCAAUGACUAGUUCUGCACAAUUACCGCCACGGAAACAUCUGGCGCCGAGAACCAGCCAUGUUGAGACAGUCAUGCAUUUUUAACACAUCGGUAUUAAUAUUA